rnacentral:rRNA from 1 species
CCUACGGGAGGCAGCAGUGGGGAAUAUUGCACAAUGGGGGGAACCCUGAUGCAGCGACGCCGCGUGAGCGAUGAAGUAUUUCGGUAUGUAAAGCUCUAUCAGCAGGGAAGAAAAUGACGGUACCUGACUAAGAAGCCCCGGCUAACUACGUGCCAGCAGCCGCGGUAAUACGUAGGGGGCAAGCGUUAUCCGGAUUUACUGGGUGUAAAGGGAGCGUAGACGGCUGUGCAAGUCUGGAGUGAAAGGCAUGGGCUCAACCUGUGGACUGCUUUGGAAACUGUGCGGCUUGAGUGUCGGAGAGGCAAGUGGAAUUCCUAGUGUAGCGGUGAAAUGCGUAGAUAUUAGGAGGAACACCAGUGGCGAAGGCGGCUUGCUGGACGAUGACUGACGUUGAGGCUCGAAAGCGUGGGGAGCAAACAGGAUUAGAUACCC